CCUGGGGAUCAGAAAACAAGCCUGUGAUGGAGGAGAAGGAGCAGCGGAACGGGGAGUCUAGACACCUGAAUCCUGGUGGCCACCCAGGACAAUCCUCGACCCGGGCCCCCCUUCCCCACCCCUCGACAACCCCCACCUGGCUAGAUACUCUACUGUUGAACUCUUCCUCAAUAAAUAGAGAGGUCAUGGGAUCAUCUUGGCUCACUAGAGCAGGUGGAGGCCUGGAGAGGUGUGUUCUUUCAGUACCAGAGAGGGGCGCUCCCAGCGGCCUGCCUUGCUUUGCAGAUCUUGUUUCCCCCAAAGAACACGCGGCAAAGGUAAUCGCUCUGGAAGGAGGGCGUUUAGUCCUCCCCGCCGCACUGCGGUCAAAUCAGAGUGGGAAGGCCAAGGCUGAGGUGGCCGGAUCCGCGGUCCGUGGGGUACAGGAGUUUUUCCCCCACCCCAAUGGCGAUCCCAUCGCCCCUCCCGGGGAGGGACCCGAACGGAUCGCUGGGGGUCCCGGCCCCAGGUUGCCGGAGGCUGGGCAGCGCCCGGACCCCCGCCCGCGAGGAGGGUCCCCGCGGACCCCGCUCCCCACUUACGCGGACGCUUCCCGCGGCUGAUGCAGCGACUGCGCUGGCGGCCCCGCCCCGCGUGGGUCAUGUGGCUGCAGGUCACGCGGUGCCGCGCUCUGCCCGCGGGGCUGACUUCUAGGGGCUGCGGCUCUAGGGAGGGCUCUGCCCGGCGGGCCAGGGGCUCCCAUUUUCUUAGCACAGGGGCUGUGUAGGCCCCGGAAAAGCCGUGGGGGGCGGGGCUUGGAGACUGGUUUGGUGGAGGAGGGAGACUUGGGGGGGGUCCCAGGUCGCUCCCAGGGAUGCAGUCCCCAAGGCCGGGGGCUGGGGCAGGGUUUUCAGUGCUGGGGGUGGGGCGCGGGAGGAAGAGCAGACUCGCUUCCUCUAGGGCUGGGCUUGGCUCUGCCUUCAGUUUAUUUUUUUAGAUAUCAUUUAUUUACCUAGUUAUUGCUGCUUUUUUGUUUUAAAUAUAAUUGGAUUUUUUCUACCUUAAAAAAAAAAUCCAUCUUUGCAGCAGUAUGAACUAGAGAAAAAUGUAGGUCCCUGGUCUCCUCUACUUCCCACCCUAAGGUAAUCAUUGCUAACAGGUUAGACUACAUCCUCAGUGAUUUUUCGUGAAUAUCCUUACAUUGUAUUUUACAGAAAUGAGAACACACCACACGUGUGGUCCACAGUCAGCUGGGCAACCACAUCCUGCAGUUCCCGUGACUUGGUUCGCCUCUUCCUUGGGCCUCGCUGCGACUCCGGAGCAGCUUGAGAGAGUGGGCUUCUAAUGCACGCGGGAUCUUCGUUAAGGACUGCAGGAUCUUUGUUGCGGCAUGCGGGAUCUAGUUCCCUGACCAGGGAUCAAACCCAGGCUCCCUGCAUUAGGAGCUCAGAGUCUUAACCACUGGCCCACCAGGGAAGUCCCAACAUCAGGUACUCUUGAGCACAUUAUGCAGAGCACAGGCAGGACCACCAACGCCUUCCAUAGAAUUAUUCAUGCUUUGCUUCAACUUUGAAUAAACGUCGUUUGUACCUUUAUGGAAACAUCCACCAAAAGUUAUAUUUGUAUUAUCUCCAACAAAAAUAGUAAAAAUUUCUCAUUAACUCUUUAUUUUUAAAAUAAAAUUUCGACUUUAUUCUGAUAUCCAAGAAGUUCAUUCUGUGAUUGUAGUAUUGCAUUUUGACCUCGACUUUGGUCAAAUACUGAUAUAAACAUUGUUAUUCAGCCAAAAUGUGUAUUUGGUGCACUUAUUUGGGAAAGAUUUUUCCUUCCAGUUUGAUUAAGAUAUAAUUGGCAUACAGCACUGUAUAAGUUUAAGGUGUACAGCAUAAUGAUCUGACUUACAUUCAUCAUGAAAUGAUUACCACAAUGAGUUUAGUGAACAUCCUUCAUCUCAUAGAUACAAAAUAAAAGAAAAAAAUGUUUUUACCUAUGAUAAGCACUCUUAGGAUUUACUCAACAUCUUUCAUUCAUAACGUACAGCAGUGUUAAUUAUAUUAAUCAUGUUGUACACUACAUCCCUAGUACUUAUUUAUCUUUUAAAAGGAAGUUGUACCUCUUGACCACCUUCAGCCAACUCCCCCUCCCUCCACCCCCUGCCUCUGGUAACUGCAAAUCUCAUCUCUUUUUCUGUGAGUUUGUUUUAAUCUUGUUCAUUUUUUAUUCCAAGUUUCCUUGUACAUAUCCAAAGAGAAGUGAUAACUGUUAAUGUGUGGGCUCCAUGGGCAAAAGAACAACCUUACAAACAGCUAAAUAAUGCCAGUUUGAUAUCAAUGUCAUCCAGUGUUUUAAGUAUAUCAGUUAACUCCAAUGGGGAUUUGAUUUUUAUUCAACCAAUUCAUGGAAUCAAAAUAAAGCUUUAAGAAGUUCAUUCUGCCAAAGGUAAAACAUCCAAAAUUAAUGUAAACACAAUUAUAAAUUUAGUUAAAAUAUCCAGCAUUCAAGAUAAAAUUGUUUCUGUGGUCUCAAUACAAAUAUAUAUUUUGGUGAAUCACAGCUUCAUGAUAAAAAUGUUUUUACCAUAUUAGGAUAUUAGCAAUGACCUUAGAAUUGGUUGUGAUGCACAUGUAAUUUCUUUUUUUUAUUUUUAGGAGGGAAGAUAUUUUGUAUUUUAAAAAUUUUUUUUUAAUUUAAUUUUUUUUUUUUUUUUGCAGUAUGCGGGCCUCUGUUGUGGCCUCUCUCGUUGCGGAGCACAGGCUCCAGACACGCAGGCUCAGCGGCCAUGGCUCACGGGCCCAGCCGCUCCGCGGUAUGUGGGAUCUUCCCGGACCAGGCCUCGAACCUGUGUCCCCUGCAUUGGCAGGUGGAUUCUUAACCACUGCACCACCAGGGAAGCCCGGGGUACAUCUUUUUGAAUUAGUAUUUUUCUUUUCUUCAGAUAACUACCUAGGAGUGGAAUUGCUGGAUCAUAUGGUAGUUCUGUUUUUAAUUUUUUGAGCCACUAUUUUCCAUAGUGGCUGCACCAAUUUACAUUCCCACCAACAGUGCACAAGGGUUCCCUUUUCUCCACAUUCUCACCAACACUUGUUAUUUGUUGUCUUUUUGGUAAUAGCCAUUCUGACAGGUGUGAAGUGAUAUCUCAUUGUGGUGGGGGGGGUUUAAUUAAUUUAUUUAUUUGGCUGUGUUGGGUCUUAGUUGCGGCACACGGAAUCUUUCGUAGCGGCACUCGGGCUCUUUGUUGUGGCGCGUGGUCUUCUCUCCAGUUGCAGCGCAGGCACCAGAGUGUGCGGGCUCAGUAGUUGUGGCGCGCGGGCUUAGUUGCCCCAUGGCUUGUGGGAUCUUAGUUCCCUGAUCAGGGAUUGAACCUGUGUCCCCUGCAUUGGAAGGUGGAUUCUUAACCACUGGACCACCAGGGAAGUCCCUCAUUGUGGUUUUGAUUUGCACUACUAACUUUUUAAAAUAUAUACAAAAUACUACAUAUAUUUAAUGUGUAUAAUUUGAUGAGUAUGGGCAUACGCAUUCCCUGGGGAACAAUCACCAUAAUCAAGGUGAUAGAUUUAUCCAUCACCAAAAGUUUCCCGUGUCCCUUUGUUUUUGGUUUUCGUGUGUGUGUGUGUGUGUGUGUGUGUGUGUGUGUGUGUGUGUGAUUAACUCUUAACUCAAUAAGAGACUGUCUGCAAAAAUUUUUACUGUUUCUGAAGUCUCAUCUGAAAGGUAUUCUACUUGCAAUAGCCUUAUAUGCAAGCCUUUUUCACAAGAAAAAUAUUGCACAAAGGAAAAUUUGUUUCUGCACUGUGAUUAUUUGCAUUUUGGCAAUGCCAUAAAAGAGUGAGACAUUUAGAUCUUUGAUAAUCUCUGUAGUGAUAAAUGGAACUAUUAUAUUAUUAUGGCAGCAGAUUUCAUCCUAGCAUUUGAAAAUUCGUUUGCAAUUUUGGAACCUGAAAACACUUCUGGUGGUAGUCCAUCCAAACACUUACUUGAGCUGAAAGACUGAUGAUGAUAUACAGGUGUGGAAGUCCAUUACAUUUCUGCUGUGAUUGUAUUAUCUGCUUAAUCUGAAUUUUUCCUAAAAAAAAAUUGUUUAGGGCUUCCCUGGUGGCGCAGUGGUUGAGAGUCCGCCUGCCGAUGCAGGGGACGCGGGUUCGUGCCCCGGUCCGGGAAGGUCCCACAUGCUGCGGAGCGGCUGGUCCCGUGAGCCGUGGCCGCUGAGCCUGCGUGUCCGGAGCCUGUGCUCCACAACGGGAGAGGCCACAACAGUGAGAGGCCCGCGUACCGCAAAAAAAAAAAAAAAAAAAAAAAAAAAAAAAAAAAAAAUUGUUUAUCACUUUCCUUAGUGUUAGUUAAGGAAAUCAUACAUCUCUUAUGGUUAGUUGUUAAUAUAUGCUGGCUUAUGUCUGAUUUUUCAUCUUUUAUUAAAUGAACAACUGCAUACUGCAGAAACUUUCAAAAGGGAUUUCUGUCUUGUUUAAUAAAUGUUCACUGCUCAGAAAGUUCAGCACAAGUUAUGCUUGCUCUUUUAUAUUUGGGGGUUCGUAUAUACAGAAAAAUAGAUUUCUGAUAAAGUGUUAAUAUCCAAAAUAUAUAAGGAACUCAUACAACUGAAUAGCAACAAACAAACAAACAAUCCCAAUUAAAAAUAGGUAGAGGAUCUGAAUAGACAUUUUCCAAGGAAGAUAUACAGAUGGCCAAUAGGUACAUGAAAAGAUACUCGACAUCACUAAUCAUGAGGAAAUGCAAAUCAAAACCACAAUGAGGUAUCAUCUCAUACUUGUCAGGAUGGCUAUUACCAAAAAGACAACAAAUAACAAGUGUGGGCGAGAAUGUGGAGAAAAGGGAACCCUCGUGCACUGUUGGUGGGAAUGUAAAUUGGUGCAGCCACUAUGGAAAACUGUAUGGAAGUUCCUAAAAAAUUAAAAACAGAACUACCAUACGAUCCAGCAAUUCCACUCCUAGGUAUUUAUCUGAAGAAAAUGAAAACACUAAUUCGUAAAGAUAUAUGUUAGGACUUCCCUGGUGGUCCAGUGGCUAAGACUCUGAGCUCCCAAAGCAGGGGCCCCGGGUUCGAUCCCUGGUCAGGGAACUAGAUCCCACAUGCAUGCUGCAACUAAGAGUUCACAUGCUGCAACUAAAAGAUUCCCACAUGCCACAACAAAGAUCCCACGUGCAGCAACUAAGACCUGGAGCAGCCAAAUAAAGCAAUUUUUUUAAAAAAGAUAUAUGCAACGCUGUGUUCACUGCAGCAUUACUUACAACAGCCAAGAUAUGGAAACAACCCAUGUGUCUGUCCAUCAAUGGAUGAAUAGAUAAAGAAGAUGCAGUAUAGGGACUUCCCUGGUGGCACAGUGGAUAGGACCCCAUGUUCCCAAUGCAGGGGGCCCCAGUUUGAUCCCUGAUCAGGGAACUAGAUCCCACAUGCAUGCCACAACUAAGAGUUUGCAUGCCACAACUAAGGAGUCCGCCUACCACAACUAAGAUGAGGUGCAGCCAAGUAAGAAAAUAAAUAAAUAUUUUUUAAAAAAGAAGAUGCAGUAUAUAUUACACAAUGGAAUACUAUUCAGCCAUCAAAAAGAAUGAAAUCUUGCCAUUGGCAACAAAAUGCAUGGGCCUCGAGGGCAUUAUGCUAAGCAAAAUAAGACAAAGACAGAAUAGCCUAUGAUUACACUUAUAUGUGAAAUUUAAAACAACAUCAAAAAACCAAGCUCACAGAUACAGAGAACAGACUGGUGGUUGCCACAGGUGAGGGGGUAAGGAGUGGGAGAAAUUGGUGAAAAGGACCAAAAGGUACAAGCUUCCAGCAAUAAAGUAAAUAAAUCAUGGGAAUGUAAUGUGACUGUAAUGUAAUGGUAUAAUGUAAUGAUGACUACAGUUCAACUUUACUGCAGAUAAUGUAAUGGUGACUGCAGUUCAACUUUACUGCAGAUUUUAAAGCUGCUAAGGGAGUAGAUCUGAAAAGUCCUCAUCACAAAAAAAAUAUUUUUGUAACUGUAUGGUGACAUGUUAACUAGGCUUAUUGUGGUGAUCAUUUUGCAAUAUUUACAAAUAUCAAAUAUUUUGUUCACCUGAAACUAAUACAGUGUUGUGUCUGUUACACCUCAAUAAAAAAAAUUGCAGGAAGGUUUAAAAAAAAGUAAUAGAAACCACUUCAAGAAUCAAAGAGAUUGAAUUUGAUAAUCUCACAGCUGUGAGAGUGCAUUUGUCAUUUACAGGUUCAAACUCUUGACUUACUAUAAACUGGGUCCAACUUGACCCAGUUUGAAAGGGCUGCACAACUGCAAGCUAACAUAAAUUGAGUUUAACAUCUGAUUUAAAAAAAAAAAAAGGUGAACUUCCUGUUUGCCUGAAAGUGAGACUGCACUUUUAAGGCAAAGUCUCCCCAGCAAAGCCAGAGCUGAUUUUAUGGAAGGUUUUGGGAAGCCUGGGCGCAGGGGCUGGUGGACUUUCAGAAGAGAAAGGCUUUAAGGAUGUAAGGACUUUCAGCUGCUCCCUGGAGCAAGGUUGUCUUUGACUGGCUGGCUUUCGAGCACGGUCCUGGGAGUGAGACGCUUGCUGAUUGGCUGUCGUCUAGGAGCGUGGGGACUGUCACUGACUUGCUGGCUUUCAGAGGCUUGGUGGUGGAUUUGUUCACAUCCAGAAGCAUAGUUACUGAAGUGAGAGUAUCGCUGAUUGGCUGAUUUUCAGAACAAAAAUCCCCUUCAAAUGAUUCUGAUGAUCACCCAGAUUUGGGGACCCCUAAGGAAGAGAAAGAUCAACCUUCAUGAUUCGGCUGAUGAUUUGUUCAGCUUUUGUGUCACUGUGCAGGUGUCAGGAACGACUUCUUUCACCAGGGAAACAUCUUGUGUUGCCCCUCUCUUGGCUACCCAGCUCUUCUUUCCCCCGCUUGCCAAUUUCUUACCAGAGAAGAGAGUUCCAAGCCAAGGAUCCCCGUGAAUUUCUCGAUGUGUCAUCCAAAGAGUUCCAGGAAACGCUGAGGGUGUGAAGGGCAUCAGAUGAGGCUGCCAACCCAACAAAGACUUGCUCUAACCUUGGGAUCGCUUGCUUAGGAUGAAAGGCCAACCCUGCAGUCACUUGGGGUGGGAAAGGAAGGCCAUUUCCCUCUGGGCCACAGCAACCCCACCACCUGACACAGAGCCAGGCCUGGGGCAGUUUGGGACUGAGGCCUUCAGUGACCACAUGGAACUCUAAGAGAAGUGCAGUGGCCAGGGCCCAGUAGACUCCUCAAAGGCUCAGGAAAUUGGAGUCAGUGUUGGGUUCUGUAAACUGUGAUGGGAGAGGAAAACCUGUCAAAACACAGCAAUUUUGUUUGAAGGGUCAUGCUGGCUGUUGGCUGGGGAAUAAUAUAUUUUUUUUCUGAAAUUGCUUCUCCUUUUUGGGAUUAUUAGAAUUUCACAGUAGGGGUGAAGACAUUGGGAGCUGAAGGCGUGCUCUAAUCCAGCGUUUCCAAAGGGUGGUCCACGUGUAUGGUAGUCAGGAUGGUUUCAGGGAUUAUACAGAUGAGUGUGAUUAAAAAUAAAUAUUUGUUUCAGCACAUAGUCACAAAAAUAAAACUAGCACCGUAAAUAUGUGAUUUCAUGGAUGUAUUGCUUAGCUUGGAGCCAAGUUAUAAAGAUUAAUGAAUUUUCAGAAAAAGAUUAAGUAUAUAAUAAGACAGGUAAUACACAAGUGUGACAAAAGAUAUGAAGGUGGAGAUGAGUGACUGUGGUUCAGAAAACUAUCAAGCCAUGCAUUUGACAUGAGCAAACCAAGGUGCCAGGAUGCAAGUGACCUGCUUACAGUAGUCAGACUUCCUCAGAGCCAGGACCAGCUCACCCAAGUUACCUGGUUCCUGGCCAUGUCACUAAUGUGCUCUUCCCUCCUGUGAGGAGGGAAAGUGAUCUCAAGGCCAUGUAACAUAGCCCCUAGAUUCAAAGUCAAAUGCAUUUGCAGAAACCACCUGCAGUUUGCUCAGACCAUGAAGUCAGGAGGAGUCCAUAAUAGGACCAGGCUCCAGGCAAUCUGAGUUAAUGAGAAGGAACCAGCCUUCUAAAGAAGGAGCACCAAGAUCUUGGUAACUCUCCUCAUAUGAACUCUCUGGGGGAGAAGAGGACAGACGUAGAACGGGCAGCUGGUUUCCCCAUCCCUGUCCCUCAUCCUUCCAGAAGAUUAAAAAUAGCCUCUAAGUUAAGGCACUAGAAGGCAUGAGUGCCCUUUGUGGGGCACAAAAAACCUCUGCACAGGUUUUUCUGAGGUCUCAGGGAGGGCUCUGAUUGUUCACAGAGAUAGCGUCAGGCAGCUGGAAACAUGUCAGGGCACAGCUUCCCAGAUGACUGUCAUCUUUGAAUCUUCACAGAUCCAAUAGGGAGCUGUGGAGGAGACACCCCGUUAGGAGUCUAGCAUUUGCUGAGCCCCAUGGCAUUGAGUGAAAAGAGCAGGCACUGGAAAUGCAGGCACUUGAACUUUUUCAGCUGCAAGGUAAUGUAACUGAGCAUGGGAGAGAGGAUCUGUUACUGAAUCGGUUGACUGCACUCGUGCUGGGGUCCUAGCCCAGACCAAGACCCCUGUCUCUGCCAGGGAGGUUCUUUUUCCGAUCAGAUUCGCGCAGCCAAUACAAAACUGAUGCUGAGACAGGAAAAGCACAAGCUUUAUUCAACAGCCAAAGAAUGGAGAAGCAGGAACCUAGUUCACAAAUCAACUUCUCAACCCAAUUCGGGUGGAGACAUCAAAUAUAUAGGAGGGUCGAGGUAAAAGGGAGGAAAUUGGAAAGAAUGGGGGGAAUAUUCGUGAGUUAUCCAAGAACAGGGGUGUGGUUUGGACCCAGAAAUCCAACUCUCCUUUUCAGUCCUUGUAUGGGCUUUUCCAGUUGUUGUCAUGGCAGUUGUCGACUGUCCUGGCGCUGGCGGGCGUGUCAUUUAGCAUGCUAAUGUAUUAAGUGAGACUAUAACGAGGCUCAAGGUCUAUUGGAAGUCAAAUCUUCCACCGUCUUCGGCCUAGUUGUUUCUAACCAGUUGUUUUUUUCUCUUUGUAGCUUCCUCCUGCAACUUAGAUAAGAGUAGUUGGUUUCUGUUUGAGGGAGGGACAGAGGUAUGAUUCUGGGGCAAUAGGCUUGGUAACAGAGCCAUAUUACUAUUUCUCUUCCCUGAAUGGGAUCGUGUGUCCCUUGCUGAAGCAUCCCCGACCUCUGCAGUCUGGGAGCCACUUGUUCUUCCUCUGUGUCACCUUCUGGGUGUUGGGUAGUGUGUGACCUGCUAGCCCACCCCUCGGAUGAACUCUCAGGGAUCCAAAAACACGAACCCAUCUAACCUCAAAGUAGGCGUGGUGGAAUACACUGUGUGUAAGUUUUCCCGGUCAGCCUUACAAGAGUUCCGCAUCGAGGAAGACACCGCUUUAUCCUGGGCCCAAAUCAGAGUCUGUGCAUGAACUCCUCUGCCCCCACCUCCUGUCCUGGCUCUGGUCCUUGGGAAUGGGAGCCCUAAGCAUUUGAGAGUGGAUAAGUUAAACCAGGGACUAUAGUUCCAAAGUUUCUCCUGUCCUUUGUAGGCUCAGCAUGAAGAUUCUUUAGUUGAGCAAAGCACCUUAAUGUGUUUUUAGGAUAUGCCAGUGUUGGCACGGGAACCUGAUUUGAGUGGAGACAGACAGGUGAAUACCUCUGCAGUAGAACGUAAUAAGGAAUUUCCAGGCGCCUGCUGUGAGUUGGGGGUGG